CCUACGGGCGGCAGCAGUGGGGAAUAUUGGACAAUGGGCGAAAGCCUGAUCCAGCCAUGCCGCGUGUGUGAAGAAGGCCUUCGGGUUGUAAAGCACUUUCAGUGGGGAAGAAAGCCUUGGGGCUAAUACCCUCGAGGAAGGACAUCACCCACAGAAGAAGCACCGGCUAACUCCGUGCCAGCAGCCGCGGUAAUACGGAGGGUGCGAGCGUUAAUCGGAAUUACUGGGCGUAAAGCGCGCGUAGGCGGUCUGAUAAUCCGGUUGUGAAAGCCCCGGGCUCAACCUGGGAACGGCAUCCGGAACUGUCAGGCUAGAGUGCAGGAGAGGAAGGUAGAAUUCCCGGUGUAGCGGUGAAAUGCGUAGAGAUCGGGAGGAAUACCAGUGGCGAAGGCGGCCUUCUGGACUGACACUGACGCUGAGGUGCGAAAGCGUGGGUAGCAAACAGGAUUAGAUACCCUUGUAGUC
rnacentral:rRNA from 1 species